GGCUAACGCGUGAAGGCGAGCACUCUAGACGAACUGCCGUUGACAAAACGGAGGAAGGUGGGGAUGACGUCAAAUCAUCAUGCCCCUUAUGUUCUGGGCUACACACGUGCUACAAUGGCCGGUACAGACGGACGCAAAGCCGCGAGGUGGAGCAAAUCCUAAAAAGCCGGUCUCAGUUCGGAUUGCAGGCUGCAAUUCGCCUGCAUGAAGUCGGAAUCGCUAGUAAUCGCAGGUCAGCAUACUGCGGUGAAUACGUUCCCGGGCCUU
rnacentral:rRNA from 1 species